rnacentral:lncRNA from 1 species
UGCGGGGAUGAAAGGCAUGUGCUAGGGGUUGGGGAUUUAGCUCAGUGGUAGAGCGCUUGCCUAGGAAGCGCAAGGCCCUGGGUUCGGUCCCCAGCUCCGAAAAAAAGAACCCAAAAAAAAAAAAGAAAGGCAUGUGCUACCACAUCCUGUUCAGGCGGCAGAUUUUUGUAUUUUGUUUUGUUUCCGUUUGUGUUAAAGAGCAUUUAUUUGUCGUGUAUACCUGUACUCAAGUCACAUACACAUACCAGUCAGAUGACAGCUUGUGGGAGUGACUUCUACUUUCCCUAGGUGCGUCUUAGUGACAAGUCCCUGACCCCACUGAGCCAUCUUGCUGGCCCCCAACUGUGGUGUGGUUUUGUUUCUGCCAUCUCAAAUUCUCUGUCUCUACAUUGCCUCUGCACUUGACAGAUUUUCACUGAGUACUUGCUCUGGGCCCAGCACCCAUAUACUACAGACCAAGCAGAGGUAGCCUUGGAGUUUGUCCACAGGGGUCCUAGUCCAGGUGGGGCCAGGCAGAGGUUUGGGGUUUGAGUAGGGAGGUACAAGAGGCAACUGACUGUAAUCCCAGGAAGGGCAUCUAACAUCUGGCCUCUGUUGGCACUGCAUGCAUGUGGUACAGACAUGCAUGCAAGCAAAACAUUCAUACAUACAAAAUUAAAGUAAAUAAAUGUAAAAAAAAAAUUUAAAG